AUGUGCCUGCUCGUUGCUGAUCCCUGCGUGCUCUGCGAAUCCUUUCGUCUGCAGAAGGGUGGUUGGGGUUUCUGUAGGGGCAAGGAGAGAUCUGCGAUGCGCGCAUCGCCGGCCAGCGAUGGCUUCGUGAACUGGCUGCCGGAGAUUGCCGAGGCCACCUGUGGGAAGGAAAGCCUCAUCUUCCAGUACAGCCUCAGCCAGGUCGAAGAAGAAACUGGUAUAAAGUUAAAUCUACAGGGCAUGGUUGAUCUUACUGCUUCGCCGGACCCUGCUACUGGGUGCAGAAUGCUACCAUCACCGGGUGGCUGUGACAAAGAGAUUGGCAUGUUCCUUUACAGGGGGCACGUGGACGAGGAGACUAUUAGGCUGGUCAUAGUGGGAAGUAACAUAUACUAG
rnacentral:rRNA from 1 species